CAAAAACACGCAUAACCGCUACGGAAAACAGAUGCACCGUAAAUGAUAAAUGCAGGUUUUGCACUAGCCAGCAUCCUGAUUUAAAAGAGAAUUUUCGUCUUUUAGCCGAUAUGGCCCAAUAGGAAAUGGAGGGGGCAUUCUGUUAUGCACGAUGGAUGAGUAGGGUUUUGCCUCUCAACAAAUCCGCUCUUCACAACCACUCUUCCACUUUCUCAUACCCAUGCCCCCUUUGUCAUUAUUCAAGAUGCUUUUGAUAGAUACAAAGGGAUCUUGUUUAAGCAUGGUGACAUGUUCAAUUUUCUCAACCCUGGACUUUCUCUCUCUAUUAAUGGUGCUGCCUCUACCAUUGUUCGUGAUACUUUUGAUAAAUACAAAGGGAUCUUGUUUAAGCAUGGUGACAUGUUCAAUUUUCUCAACCCUACACUUUCUCUCUCUAGAAAUGGUGUUGCCUCUGCCAUUGUUCGAGAUGCUUUUGAUAGAUACAAAGGGAUCUUGUUUAAGCACGGUGACAGGUUCAGUUUUCUCCGAACACUCAGGCCUGCCUAUGAUGUUUCCCAAAUGAACAUCAUUGUUCUUUCUGAUAUUGAAGAGGUCCAAUUUGACACCAUGGAUUUAUCUGGCAAUGAGAUUGUCAAAUUGGAAAAUGUGCCAUGAUCUUAACCGGUUGGGUACAAAGCUCAUUAGUAACAAUAGGAUUACUAGAAUUAAUCUCAACAUUGGAGGUCUGGUUUGAACUUUGAAAUGCACAUCCUCUUUCCAUUAUUGAUGUCUUUCCUUCUAGUUGUAAGCUACACAAUGUGGAUAUCUAGAUUAUUGUUGCAUUUGUAUUGUAGAAUUUUUGCCAAAACAAGACACUAGUUCUCACAAACAACAGAAUUGUAAACUUGGUAGAAAUUGAUCCGUUAGCAUCCCUUUCAAAGCUGUAGUUACUUGGUCUGUCAGACAACAAUAUUACUAAGAAAGCAAAUUGCAGGCUUUAUGUUAUUAACAAGCUGAAAUCCCUCUCGGUUUUGGAUUUCAAGUAAUUGAAAUAUAAGUUAAUUCGUUACAAAGCAAGUGAUUAUAAUAAAGAUAGAAUAUGGCUCCGACGGACCAGAGCCAACACAGAGAGACGGAGAAAGACAGAAUUUCAUUGAUAUGACAAAAAGAUUUUCAAGUGACCUGGAGAAACAAAGCAGAUUCCGGGCAUCUACAAUGGAAAAACAGAAAUUUUUUUGUGGAUUUAUGAAAAAACAAAAGUUUUCGUAUUGGUCCAAAGCAGGGUCACCUGUAAGAUAUAACAUGGCAUUAUGUUUGGGCCUAAGGUCCAUA